AGAGUUUGACUCUGGCUCAGGAUGAACGCUAGCGAUAGGCUUAACACAUGCAAGUCGAGGGGCAGCGAGAUGUAGCAAUACGUCGUCGGCGACCGGCGAAUGGGUGAGUAACACGUAUGCAACUUACCUCUUAGUGGUGAAUAACCCGAUGAAAGUCGGACUAAUACACCAUACUCUCCUUAGAUCACAUGAGAAGAGGAGGAAAGAUUAAUCGCUAAGAGAUAGGCCUGCGUUCCAUUAGCUCGUUGGUAAGGUAACGGCUUACCAAGGCAACGAUGGAUAGGGGGACUGAGAGGUUGACCCCCCACAUUGACACUGAGAUACGGGUCAAACUCCUACGGGAGGCAGCAGUGAGGAAUAUUGGUCAAUGGGCGAGAGCCUGAACCAGCCAAGUCGCGUGAAGGAAGACUGCCCGCAAGGGUUGUAAACUUCUUUUGUAUGGGAUUAAAGUCGUCUACGUGUAGACGUUUGCAGUUACCAUACGAAUAAGCAUCGGCUAACUCCGUGCCAGCAGCCGCGGUAAUACGGAGGAUGCGAGCGUUAUCCGGAAUUAUUGGGUUUAAAGGGUGCGUAGGUUGCAAGGGAAGUCAGGGGUGAAAAGCUGUAGCUCAACUAUGGUCUUGCCUUUGAAACUCUCUAGCUAGAGUGUACUGGAGGUACGUGGAACGUGUGGUGUAGCGGUGAAAUGCAUAGAUAUCACACAGAACUCCGAUUGCGCAGGCAGCGUACUACAUUACAACUGACACUGAAGCACGAAAGCGUGGGUAUCAAACAGGAUUAGAUACCCUGGUAGUCCACGCAGUAAACGAUGAAUACUAGAUCUAUGCGAUAUACAGUAUGGGUCUAAGCGAAAGCGAUAAGUAUUCCACCUGGGGAGUACGCCGGCAACGGUGAAACUCAAAGAGAUUGGCGGGGGUCCGCACAAGCGGAGGAACAUGUGGUUUAAUUCGAUGAUACGCGAGGAACCUUA
rnacentral:rRNA from 1 species